UGCUUUGUUUCAUAUUGAUAGUUUGAUUAAAAAGUUUCGAUACUUUUAUUGCUGAUCUGGUAGCAAAAUCUCAACGCAUUUUAAAAAUGCAUUUUCGCGGUAUUGCGAUUCUUUGGUAGAUGACAAAAACAAGACUAACGAUUGCACGCGUUAGAAAAUUACAUAACCAUACUUCAGCUUCUUUUUCCAUAGUUAUUUCCAUUAGUUAUGAUAAUAUUCGAUAAUACAGAGAGCGUCAAGCAUAUAUAUAUUAUUUAACCUUUGAGCGUUUGCUGUUCUUCUAAACUGAAUUGUAGGCUUAGUGUUGAAAGAGAAUUUAGCACUUUUAACAAAAUCUCAUUCUUUCUGUUAAACUAGAAAUGCAUAUUUAAUUUUCUUAAAUUUAGUUUCCUCCCCUUAAAAGUAGUUGAAUAUUUGAUUUAAAUUUGCAAAU